AACGGCCGUACCAUGCUGAAUAUACCGGUUCUCGUUAGAUCACCGAAGUCAAGCAUCAUUGGGCGCGGUCAGUACUUGGGUGGGUGACCACCUGGGAACACCGCGUGC